AAAGCUUUAAGUUAAUAAAACUAUUAACCUUCAAAGUUAAAAUUGCAAACAUUUAUUGUAAGCUUUA
rnacentral:tRNA from 1 species